rnacentral:rRNA from 1 species
UACAGAGGUCCCAAGCGUUUGUUCGGAUUCACUGGGCGUAAAGGGUGCGUAGGUGGUGAGGUAAGUCGGAUGUGAAAGCUCGGAGCUCAACUCCGAAAUGGCAUUGGAAACUACCUUGCUAGAGGGUUGGAGGGGGGACUGGAAUACUUGGUGUAGCAGUGAAAUGCGUAGAUAUCAAGUGGAACACCAGUGGCGAAGGCGAGUCCCUGGACAACUCCUGACACUGAGGCACGAAAGCUAGGGGAGCAAACAGG